rnacentral:rRNA from 1 species
UACGUAGGGGGGCAAGCGUUGUCCGGAUUUAUUGGGCGUAAAGAGCGUGUAGGCGGCUAGAUAGGUCCGUUGUGAAAACUCGAGGCUCAACCUCGAGACGUCGAUGGAAACCAUCUGGCUAGAGUCCGGAAGAGGAGAGUGGAAUUCCUGGUGUAGUGGUGAAAUGCGUAGAUAUCGGGAGGAACACCAGUGGCGAAGGCGACUACCUGGCCUGUUUCUUGACGCUGAGGCGCGAAAGCUAGGGGAGCAAACGGGG